rnacentral:rRNA from 1 species
GUGUGCUAAUACCGCAUACGCUCUGAGGAGGAAAGCGGGGGACCUUCGGGCCUCGCGUUAUUCGAGCGGCCGACGUCUGAUUAGCUAGUUGGUGGGGUAAAGGCUCACCAAGGCGACGAUCAGUAGCGGGUCUGAGAGGAUGAUCCGCCACACUGGGACUGAGACACGGCCCAGACUCCUGCGGGAGGCAGCAGUGGGGAAUUUUGGACAAUGGGCGAAAGCCUGAUCCAGCCAUGCCGCGUGAGUGAAGAAGGCCUUCGGGUUGUAAAGCUCUUUUGUCCGGGAGGAAAUCCCGCAACCUAAUACGUUGCGGGGAUGACAGUACUGGAAGAAUAAGCACCGGCUAACUACGUGCCAGCAGCCGCGGUAAUACGUAGGGUGCAAGCGUUAAUCGGAAUUACUGGGCGUAAAGCGUGCGCAGGCGGUUUGAUAAGUCAGAUGUGAA